CAGGCAACGAGCGAGACCCACGCCAACAGUUGCCAGCUCGUCCUCCGGGAUGGUGGGGACACUGUUGGGACGCCUCUGCUAAAGAGGAGGAAGGAAUGGGCAACGGUAGGUCAGCAUGCCCCGAAUUAUCUGGGCUACACGCGGGCUACAAUGGGUGGGACAAUGGGUAUCGACACCGAAAGGUGAAGGCAAUCUCCUAAACCCAUCCGUAGUUCGGAUUGUGGGCUGUAACUCGCCCACAUGAAGCUGGAAUCUGUAGUAAUCGUGUUUCAAAAUAGCGCGGUGAAUAUGUCCCUGCUCCUU
rnacentral:rRNA from 1 species